CAACCCUCAAGCCCAGCUUGGUGUUGGGGACCGGCCUGCCUCCAGCGCUUGCCGCCCCCGAAAUACAGUGGCGGUCUCGCCGCUGCCUCCUCUGCGUAGUAGUUUACGACCUCGCAUGCGGAGCGCGGCGCGGCCACGCCGUAAAACCCCCUACUUUCAAA
rnacentral:misc_RNA from 1 species